rnacentral:rRNA from 1 species
UUUGAUCCUGGCUCAGAUUGAACGCUGGCGGCAGGCCUAACACAUGCAAGUCGAGCGGCAGCACGGGAAGCUUGCUUCCUGGUGGCGAGCGGCGGACGGGUGAGUAAUGCAUAGGAAUCUGCCCGGUAGUAGGGGAUAACCUGGGGAAACCCAGGCUAAUACCGCAUACGCCCUACGGGGGAAAGCAGGGGCUCUUCGGACCUUGCGCUAUCGGAUGAGCCUAUGUCGGAUUAGCUGGUUGGUGAGGUAAUGGCUCACCAAGGCGACGAUCCGUAGCUGGUCUGAGAGGAUGAUCAGCCACAUCGGGACUGAGACACGGCCCGAACUCCUACGGGAGGCAGCAGUGGGGAAUAUUGGACAAUGGGCGCAAGCCUGAUCCAGCCAUGCCGCGUGUGUGAAGAAGGCCCUCGGGUUGUAAAGCACUUUCAGUGGGGAAGAAAGCCUGGUGGUUAAUACCCGUCAGGAAGGACAUCACCCACAGAAGAAGCACCGGCUAACUCCGUGCCAGCAGCCGCGGUAAUACGGAGGGUGCGAGCGCUAAUCGGAAUUACUGGGCGUAAAGCGCGCGUAGGUGGCUUGAUAAGCCGGUUGUGAAAGCCCCGGGCUCAACCUGGGAACGGCAUCCGGAACUGUCAGGCUAGAGUGCAGGAGAGGAAGGUAGAAUUCCCGGUGUAGCGGUGAAAUGCGUAGAGAUCGGGAGGAAUACCAGUGGCGAAGGCGGCCUUCUGGACUGACACUGACACUGAGGUGCGAAAGCGUGGGUAGCAAACAGGAUUAGAUACCCUGGUAGUCCACGCCGUAAACGAUGUCGACUAGCCGUUGGGUCCUUCGCGGACUUUGUGGCGCAGUUAACGCGAUAAGUCGACCGCCUGGGAGUACG